GGUGAUGAGGAUGAGGGUGACGGGUGAAGAUGAGAAUGAGGAUGAAGGUGGUGGGCGAGCGAGGACGACACCAAGGUUGAUGGACGCGCUCGCGGAGCUAGCGGUGUAAACAGUUAUGGCAGCCGUACGAACACUACGAACUUCUCGCUGAAGGUGAACGAGGAGGGGAUGCUGCGAAGAAUUCUCAUCGCGCUGCACGCCCGACUCUGCCAAUAGGAGAGCUGACCUCCUAGAGACAUUUCUAGAUACGCCGUAGAAAACUCUCGAAAGGCUGCGCUCGUGUUUCAACUCGUGUUUCUCCUCUAGCUCGUUUCGACUCCGCGAUCAUCGGAGGUUGGAAUUUCGCAGAAUUUCGAUGAGAGAUUUGAACGCGAGGAUGGCGACAGAUGACGGAGCUAGAGGAACGACGAUGUCGCGAGGAUGAUUAUGACCGUACUCCGAUUAAGUAGUUGAGUAAUAUAUGUAUUGAAUUAGACAGAAUUAUUGAUCAUUUGUUGAUUAACAUGAAUGCAACAGCUCGAGGAUUGAAAUGAAAUGUCCUGCCAAAAAAAACUCGAUAAAAUUGUAUAAGAAAGAAAAACAUCCUUAAAAUUCUAUCAUUAUUGGAUGGACAGAGGACGAAUGGAUGGCAACGAACAGAUGUGAACUCGGUCGAUCUCGAUUUUGAUUUUAUUUCCUUCCUCACACGUAAUGUGCAACACGUUCCGUAGCCCUCGCCAACGGCGAUCGGCGCGCACGAUCGUAAUUGCUACAGCUCUUUUCUCUCUCUUUUUUUUUUCUUUUUUUCCGCGCUUACAGUACGUACACGUGCAUCGUAUGCACCUUUAGACGGGUCGCAUUCACGGGCGAACUCGCGUUCGCUGCGCUAUAUUUACAACGCCAGUCGUUCAUGCGAGCCGCAUAUUUUCAAAACCCGCCGGAUUUUCCUUCGGAAUCCGCGUACGAGAUUCGAGGGCCCGACCGGCAGUCAGCACUCCGAUCGAGGAUCCGAUUAACUUGAGCGGCCAUCAAUUUAAUGCUAAUAAGAACAAAAUAUUAGUUCUUUGUUUUAUGAAAAGAAGAAAUCAGAUUAGAGACAAAAUGGAUUGCGCAGCUAGAAAUUUUGCUUCGUACAAAUGAAUUCGGCUGCCGGUUGAGCUAAUCGCCGAUUAAAUUAAUCGGAGUUUGAUUGAAGUCGCCCUAGAAGUCGGUUCUUCGAGCGUAGAUCGUUCUAAGGCUAUAAUUGAUAUAUUGACUGUAAACUCCUCCGAUUCUCUUUUUGUAGAAACUUCUCUGCAGAAGCUCCGUUAAAGAAUCGCUUUUUCGGCGAAAAUUUUCUACUGAUAGUCAACGCAAAGUAAAAAAAAAAAAAAAAAAAAAAUAACGAUUAUUAAUCACUCA